UACGGAAGGUGCAAGCGUUAUCCGGAUUCACUGGGUUUAAAGGGAGCGUAGGUGGCCUUAUAAGUCAGUGGUGAAAUCUUCGAGCUUAACUCGGAAAUUGCCAUUGAUACUGUAGGGCUUGAGUAUAGUUGCCGUUGGCGGAAUAUGACAUGUAGUGGUGAAAUACAUAGAGAUGUCAUAGAACACCGAUUGCGAAGGCAGCUGACGAAACUAUAACUGACACUGAGGCUCGAAAGUGCGGGGAUCAAACAGG
rnacentral:rRNA from 1 species